CCCGCUGAACUUAAGCAUAUCAAUAAGCGGAGGAAAAGAAACUAACAAGGAUUCCCCUAGUAACUGCGAGUGAAGCGGGAAAAGCUCAAAUUUAAAAUCUGACGGUUACGCCGUCCGAGUUGUAAUCUGGAGAAGCGUUUUCUGUGUUGGCCCGUGCAUAAAUCUCUUGGAACAGAGUGUCAUAGAGGGUGAGAAUCCCGUCUUUGGCACGGACUACCAAUGCUAUACGAUACGCUCUCAAAGAGUCGAGUUGUUUGGGAAUGCAGCUCAAAAUGGGUGGUAAAUUCCAUCUAAAGCUAAAUAUUGGCGAGAGACCGAUAGCGAACAAGUACCGUGAGGGAAAGAUGAAAAGCACUUUGGAAAGAGAGUUAAACAGUACGUGAAAUUGUUGAAAGGGAAACGCUUGAAGUCAGUCGCGUUGCUUGGGACUCAGCCUUGCUUCUGCAUGGUGUAUUUCCCUUGUGACGGGUCAACAUCGAUUUCGUCCGGUGGACGAAGUCGGAGGGAAGGUGGCACCUUUGUGUGUGUUAUAGCCCUUCGUCGUAUACACUGGCUGGGAUCGGGGACCGCAGCACGCCUUUUUGGCCGGGGUUCGCCCACGUAACGUGCUUAGGAUGUUGGCAUAAUGGCUUUAAGCGACCCGUCUUGAAACACGG
rnacentral:rRNA from 1 species